UAAACCGGAUCACAUCUACAUGAAACCGGAUCAUAGCAUUUUUGUAAUUGUUUUGGUUUCAAUCUUGUCAUGCUUGUUGCGCAAUCUUGCGUAAGUAUGGUAAUUACUGAACAGGACCGGCACAAGGAUGUAAAAAAAACAUUUCAAUUUAUAGGCCAGUAUUUACCUGCGUAAAUCGAUCAUUUAGUGUAGACAAUAUAUGAGGCUCUGGCUUAUGACCGAAUCACAGGAAGAAUUUUGAUAUCAGUUUUAAAAAUUUCACCAGGAAGGAUAUAUUCAAUAUUUAUUACCAGCAAUGAAAUGAAGUUUUUUAUUUUAUCUCUGCAUUUAUUUAAUCUGUUUACUGAAACAUAUUGUGAUCAUGAUGGGACAACACCAGCACCAGCACCACAGAAUCCACCAACACCGAAUCCAACACCAUCAAAACCACCAACACCGAACCCAACACCGUCGAAACCAAUAAUUUCACAUGAAAUCCACCCCUCAAACACUGGUGUCACAUCAACACAAAUUCAACCGUCAAUUGCCGAAAUGACGAAUAUAAUAACCACAUCUACUUUUGACAUAGCCAAUUCUUCAUUUACACGAACAGCUGUGUCUCUUUCAACUUCAUAUACAGUUUCCUCUACCUCUGUGGCGAAUAAUAGUAGCUUAUCAUCAUUAAGCACACACAUUGAAAGUUCUUUAUCAAUUAAAUCUAGUUCAGCAAAUACAUUGUCAAUAUCAAAAUCUAGAACGGUAUCGACGAUAUCAGUGAUAUCGUAUUCAACUACUGUGUCAGCGAUAUCGAAUUCAAUGACUGUGUCAGCGAAAUCGAAUUCUGUGAUGACAUCUGAAAUAGUAGCCACAAGUUCUUCUGUAGCCAUAUUGACGACACCGGAGUUUGUGUCGUUUUCAACAGUUAGUGCGCUCACCCCAAGCGUGGUAGUAAAUUGUACAGUCAACUGCCAACAUCAAAAUCAAAAAACAAAAUCAAAAAGUCCAGGACCAAUCGUUAUUGUAGUGUUGGUAGUAUUAGCACUGAUAUUUACUGCAGUUGGAUUUGUCUGCGUUAAAAGAAGAAACAAAUGCGGACGAUUUGGACUUACUCCUGCUGGACGUGCUGAAUAUAAAAGAUUUACCGACGACGACGAGGAAAGAACCAACAUAAGUAUGAUGUAAACAUCAACCAUUAAUUAAAAAGUAGUGCUUUGUGAAAUUAUUCCGCGAUAAUUUCUAAAACAGUGUAUCCCGUCCGCUUUUAGUUAAUCUUAUUGACUUUAAUUGUCAAUAUCAGAUUUAUAAAAUAUAGAGGUCCACUAACAAUGAGUGCUACAGAUUUCUUUGAUUAAUAUUAGUCUCAUCUAAAACAAAACGUUACAGUACCCAAAUUGCACCGAGUACCCAAUUUGCACAAAUGUUGCAUCAUUUAUUCGAUGUUACGGAUGUUAAGUUAAGUAUGAAGGUAAUAUUUAGGCAUUCCUCAUUACAAAAUCUUAGGUCGUUUCGGGGUCAGUUCAAACCCAUUUUUCUAUGAUUCAGUAUGGAUUCAAAAUUAAAUUUGUAGACUGACAAAUAUAGUAAAUAAGAAUACAUCUACAUAAUAAACACAGAAUGUAAACUAUUUUCUGUUUCUUAGAUAAACGUAGGUUAAAAAACCGUCAAAAUAUGUGCGUUUGGGUACCCUCAUAUUAGCUUCGUAUAUACUAGUAGUCUGCAUCAUUCGAUCUUUGCUAGCUGUUUCUUUAGAAAAACACUGCCGACAAAAGAGAAGGAAAUAUGGAAGGAAUGUUCUUUUGAUAGACAUCAACAAAGUCUUUUGAACUUAGUACUGUUAUGAUUCAAAAAAUGAUAAAAAGUGUUGAUAUGGCCAGUGAUGGAGACCGAUUGGAUGAAACGUCUUUUUCAAAAACCACAAAACCGAUUGAGGUGUUUAAUUACUUACGCAAGUGUUCGUUUUUAAUUUAGAACCGAUCUGCAGUGUAGUGAAAGCGGAUAAUCGCCAUCGUUAAACUUACAGUUUAGUGCUUAUUGCAUUACUUUUGAUAUGCAUGGAAACCGCAUGCAUGGUCUUGAAAAGUUAUUCAUAGAGUGGAUUUAUAUCAUUAUUCCUGGAUUAUGAAUUAUUUGUUUUGGUGUAGAUUGCCUCCAUAGCAAAGCAUAUCAUCAUUGGGAAACACUCGGCUUAAUCUUUCAAAACAUAUGCUGAUAUGCAGAUCAGUUUUCAACUUUGUAAUGGACAAGCCGUCGCCAUGGAACAUAGCUGCAAAUGAUGCUAAUGAAAUACAAACUCAUCUAAGUACAUGUAAUCAGCGCUUUAUAUUAUUUUCAUUUUGAUUAUUAUUUCAGUGUAUUCAGGAAAAAACCAAAGUGGCUACUUAGUGAUUGUGAGAAGACUAAAGUUUCGAUAGUGAAAGCAUAUCAUAUGUUCAUACUUGCUCAUGUAUACCAUUUUCGAAAAUUUUGCUCAAAUUGAUAUUAUGGUCAAACAAAAAUUAUUUGCUGGUAGCUCUUUGUAGUGUUUGCGCAAAAUUUUGGCAGAUUGAUUUCUUAGUAUAAAUAAUUUGACUGCUUACUCUAAACAAAGUUUCCUAGCUUAUUUUCGAAUCUUCAGGCUUUAAAAUGACAAAGAAAGAUCUGAAAUGAUAAAAUGACAAAGAAAGAUCUGAAAUGAUAACCAUGCAUUGCUCGGUCUACUGCUCUCUUAUACAUUUGAACAGAUUUUAAUUAUAAAAAAAACAUCCAUUCAUGUGAAAUUGACCGUACUCUUUACUGCAAAGUGGCGAAUUUUCUUACAAAGAUAUAUAUCAUACAUAUUUACUUUAUUGCCUAUCUAUAGAACUUGUUCCAACAUAACAUUUUAUACGUGCUUUUUACGUUUGAAAUAAUAAAGAAUAGAGAAUAAUGGGGUGCUAAAAUAUAAAGAAUAAUGCUAAAUAAAUAUAAAGAAUAGCGAAAAAUUACCUAAAAAUUUAAAUAAUACAGAAAUGAACGACCCCUAAUCCAGGCCAUAAAAUUGAGAAUGGAAAUGGGGAAUGUGUCAAAGAGACAACAACCAGACCAUAGAGCAGGCAACAGCCGAAGGCCACCAAUGGGUCUUCAAUGCAGCGAGAAACUCCCGCACCCGGAGGCGUCUUUCAGCUGGCCCCUAAACAAAUAUGUAUACUAGUUCAGUGAUAAUGGACGUCAUACUAAACUCCAAAUUAUACACAAGAAACUAAAAUUAAAUAUGAUACAAGACUAACAAAGGCCAUACAUUUUUUUCUACCAGAGUUAUCUUUCCUUUACCAGUAAAACAGUGAUACCAAUGACCUGUUUCUGAAAUAACCUUCAUUAGAAGGAUAAAAAAAAUUGGGAAAGUUAAAAUUUUAACAUUUAGAGUGUAAAAAAAGUUUCUUCAUGGAACAACCAAAACCGUCUACAGUGGCGGAUUCAGUGAUGGCGUAGACGGCGUGCACACGCAUCCCUAUCCCAGCUAGAUCGGAAAAAAUAUAAUUUUUUGGUAUAAAAUUGUCCAAAAUAUGUGUUGCCUCGCUCUGUUCGACGGUAUAUAACCUUAUAUUACGUUUUCGGUAAUUACGCCCCCUUUCCCAUGUUCCAAAUUUCUGGAUCAAGGUCAGAGGGAGUUGCAACCUUUAAAUAGUAUAGGAAAAAUGUACCAAUUAUUCCACAAUAAUAUUUCUGUUACGAUGUUAGUUAUAAGAUUUCACCAUUUUGUAUCGGCGAAAGUUGAUUGACGUGGAUAAACAAAUAUAUAAUAUAUAUGAAAUGUCGGUUUCUUAAAUUACUAGACAGUUUUAGUGUAAGCAAUAUUUUAUUAUGAAUUAUACAAAUUACAAUAUAUAUUCACAUUCACAAAUAGGAUUCAGAAACAUGCAACAAGUGCUCGGAACUUGACUACAAGUCAGAUAUAUAGCCCGUUGAUCGUCUGCGUGCAUUUGAAAAAAAAUGUAUACCCCUACUAUUCAAAACCCAAAAGGGAGAAAAGUUGACAUGUUGGAAAAAUUGUGACACGGCCGCUUUGGAUAGUAGGGGUAUACGUUUUUUAAUGCACGUAGACGAUUAACGGGCUAUAUAUCUGACCUGUAGUCAAGUCCCUAUGUUCAACCAUGGAUACAUCCGUCUUUUCAGAAGUGUAUACGUUAGAAUAAAAUAUAUUAUUCUUAUGAUUUUAAUUCGAUGUAGUAUACUUUCUAUAUUAACGGAAUACUUGUGAAAGUGAGUUCAACGAUUCUUGUAGAAUGUAGAAUAGAAUAUUACACCUAUGUUUCCUUAAGUAAAUACUAAAAAAAGAGUUGAUUUAAAAUGUUUAAAUGAUUUCUUAGGGAAUUUUUGUAACGGCGAUGAUAAGUUUUUUGGAAAAUAUUCUGCGUCACAAUAAUUUACUGAUUUGAAGAUCAGUAUUUAAAGAAAUUCCAAACAUUCGAAUUCUGUAGGAAUUCUUAUGCCGACGAUUUUUCUUUCCAAUAUAUUUUAAUCUUGCCGGUGAUACUUGUGUAUUUUGUUAUCUUUGAUACUGUUAUUAUAAAGUGUACUGAUUUUA